rnacentral:rRNA from 1 species
AGCAUAUCAAUAAGCGGAGGAAAAGAAACCAACAGGGAUUGCCCUAGUAACGGCGAGUGAAGCGGCAACAGCUCAAAUUUGAAAUCUGGCCUUGGCCCGAGUUGUAAUUUGUAGAGGAUGCUUUUGGUUAGGUGCCUUCUGAGUUCCCUGGAACGGGACGCCAGAGAGGGUGAGAGCCCCGUAUAGUCGGCCACCGAUCCUUUGUAAAGCUCCUUCGACGAGUCGAGUAGUUUGGGAAUGCUGCUCAAAAUGGGAGGUAUAUCUCUUCUAAAGCUAAAUAUUGGCCAGAGACCGAUAGCGCACAAGUAGAGUGAUCGAAAGAUGAAAAGCACUUUGAAAAGAGGGUUAAAUAGCACGUGAAAUUGUUGAAAGGGAAGCGCUUGUGACCAGACUUGUGCCGGGCUGAUCAUCCAGUGUUCUCACUGGUGCACUCGACCCGGCUCAGGCCAGCGUCGGUUCUCGUAGGGGGAUAAAAGCUUUGGGAACGUGGCACCUUCGGGUGUGUUAUAGCCCGCUGCUUAAUACCCUUGUGGGGACCGAGGUUCGCGCUCUGCAAGGACGCUGGCAUAAUGGUCAUCAGCGACCCGUCU